UUAUUUCUGGCUUCUUUUUUUUUUCCUCUCAUUUCGGAUUGAACAAUUUGCGGCUUCUAAAAUGUAGGAUCAGAAUCAUUGUGAUGAAGGUCAUUUUCAUCUAUCAACUCUCUUCACCUCAUACCUUUGCAAGUUAAAUCAUUUAUGAACAACAUUUGUACUGCUAAAUGCAGAGGUGGAUAAAACAUUGGUUCUGAAAGCAAAAUGAUAUUCAACAAUAUUUUCUCCCAAUCUAAUUUAAACAUUCCAUCAAACAGUGGAUUUUUUUUCCAACAUUUCUUUUUGUUAUGAAUUCUUUCCCUGAUAUUUAAUUUGGUUGUUCAGCAACAUUGGGAUUUAUACAUGAUAAUUACCUCAAAUUGAAGUUUUAUCUCCCUUGCCUAGAGAAACUGCUGAUUGCAAGGAUUUUCAUAUGUACAAUAAUGAAUGGCUGUGGAUGAACUUCAACUUGGCGCCACAUUUUAACAACUUGGGACUGUAGAAUUUCUUUAUUGAUGGCCUCUUCAGAAAAGGCUUGAAGCAAACAUUCAUCCAAGCAGAUGCAGAUUUAAGGAUCAUAAUCAUGAAAGGAUUAUGCUGAGAGCUGCUCAAUUGCUUGCACAUCCUGAUUAAUGGAAUAUCCGGAGCGUACAUACAAUUUAUUAUCUCACGAGAAAUGGAGAUUUUUUAUUGCAAGUUUUUAUCAGCCAAGAAGUCUUUGAGUGUGCUCCAUUGAUUCUGCAGUAACAACAUUCUCAUAGAAAGAAUCUUUGGCGACUACUACAAAUGCUGUCUUCUUUUCUUUAAUUCACUCUAUCUAUGUCACUUUGAU
rnacentral:misc_RNA from 1 species